rnacentral:rRNA from 1 species
AUACGGAGGAUCAGAGCGUUAUCCGGAUUUAUUGGGUUUAAAGGGUGCGCAGGCGGCCAUUUAAGUCAGCGGUUAAAUCGUGGGGCUCAACCCCAUUCUGCCGUUGAUACUGGGUGGCUUGAUUGCGGUCGAGGUUGGCGGAAUUCGUUGUGUAGCGGUGAAAUGCAUAGAUAUGACGAAGAACACCGAUUGCGUAGGCAGCUGACCAGACCGCAAAUGACGCUCAUGCACGAAAGUGCGGGGAUCGAACAGGAUUAGAUACCCUGGUAGUCCGCACAGUAAACGAUGAAUACUUGUUUUCGGCGAUAUAAUGUCGGAGGCAAAGCGAAAGCGAUAAGUAUUCCACCUGGGGAGUACGCCGGCAACGGUGAAACUCAAAUGAAUUGGCGGGG